CUUGGCGGCAGUAGCGCGGUGGUCCCACCUGACCCCAUGCCGAACUCAGAAGUGAAACGCCGUAGCGCCGAUGGUAGUGUGGGGUCUCCCCAUGCGAGAGUAGGGAACUGCCAGGC
rnacentral:rRNA from 4 species